GGAUUAGAUACCCUGGUAGUCCACGCUGUAAACGAUGGAUACUAGGUGUGGCGGGUAUUGACCCCUGCCGUGCCGCAGUUAACACAAUAAGUAUCCCACCUGGGGAGUACGGUCGCAAGACUGAAACUCAAAGGAAUUGACGGGGGCCCGCACAAGCAGUGGAGUAUGUGGUUUAAUUCGAAGCAACGCGAAGAACCUUACCAGGUCUUGACAUCCUAGGAAUCCUGUAGAGAUACGGGAGUGCCCUUCGGGGAAUCUAGUGACAGGUGGUGCAUGGUUGUCGUCAGCUCGUGCCG
rnacentral:rRNA from 1 species